rnacentral:rRNA from 1 species
UACGGGGGGAGCAAGCGUUGUUCGGAUUUACUGGGCGUAAAGGGCGCGUAGGCGGUAGCACAAGUCAGUUGUGAAAUCUCCGGGCUUAACUCGGAAAGGUCAACUGAUACUGUGCGACUAGAGUGCAGAAGGGGCAACUGGAAUUCUCGGUGUAGCGGUGAAAUGCGUAGAUAUCAGGAGGAACACCGGUGGCGAAGGCGGGAUCCUGGGCCAGUACUGACGCUGAGGAGCGAAAGCGUGGGGAGCGAACAGG